GUCCCAGACUCCUACGGGAGGCAGCAGUGGGGAAUAUUGCACAAUGGGGGAAACCCUGAUGCAGCGACGCCGCGUGAGUGAAGAAGUCAUUCGUUAUGUAAAGCUCUAUCAGCAGGGAAGAAAAUGACGGUACCUGAGUAAGAAGCCCCGGCUAACUACGUGCCAGCAGCCGCGGUAAUACGUAGGGGGCAAGCGUUAUCCGGAUUUACUGGGUGUAAAGGGAGCGCAGACGGCAGUGCAAGUCUGGAGUGAAAGCCCGGGGCCCAACCCCGGGACUGCUCUGGAAACUGUACGGCUAGAGUACGGGAGGGGCAGGCGGAAUUCCUAGUGUAGCGGUGAAAUGCGUAGAUAUUAGGAGGAACACCGGCGGCGAAGGCGGCCUGCUGGACCGAAACUGACGUUGAGGCUCGAAAGCGUGGGGAGCAAACAGGAUUAGAUACCCUCGUAC
rnacentral:rRNA from 1 species